CUCAUCUUCAUCUUUGAGCUUCACAAUACACACUUUCAUCUUCCUCUUCUCUCCAUCAUUCAAUCGUUCCUCUUCUCCUCGUCGUUCCUCCAUGUUCAUCCUUAUCAAGCUCCUUCUUUUCAACGCAACACCUCUAUCUCCGUCGAACCCUAAAUCUCGUGAUUUCUCUCCCGAUCCAGCAAGAACCUCACUGUUGAACCCUAAAUUCACACUCUCAACACCUCUUUCCCUCAAGCCCUUCUUCUAUGUCUCGUAUGUGUUUUAGGAACUCAAGGUAAUUUAAAUUCCAGUUGCUUUGCAGGAACUCAAGGCAAUUUAAAUUUCUCUUUUUAUUUGAUUUUUAAGAUUCAACUUGUUUGGGUUUUUUUUUAUUAAUUUUGUCAUGGGUUUGUAGGAAGAGUUUAUGGGUAUGCAGGAAAACUAGUGGAAUUAAUUUUACAGUUCAACAAGACAAGUAUCUUAGUGUGAAUUUUAGGAGGGGAAAAACUCGUGUAACAAAGACAAGUAUCCUUGUUGUGGUGGUUGUUUUUGAAGAAUUGAAGCAUUAUCUUAGUGUGAAUUUUAUUGGGAUAGAAUUGAAUUUGACCCAUGUUUUCUUCUGAUCUUAAGUGCUUCAUCUGUUGAGUCUAUGAGGAUUACACAAUUGUUCUGUUUUUGUGUUUUUAUAAGUUUGAUUUCUGGAUUUCUAUUGUUCCUAUCUUCUUCAUGAACCAAUUUUGAGUUGAGUUUUUUUUUUUAUUGUUCCUUCCUUAUUGUAUAUGCUAAUUCAUUGCUUGAAAAGUUAUAGCUUUAAUUUGUUUGAUCUUUCAUCUAAACCACUUCAUCAACCUUCAAUUUCUCCUAGUAUUUUGAAUUGUGAUUUAAAAGGUAGAGAGUCACAAACACUCGUUUGUGACAUUCAUAGUGUCCUAUUAUGAACUCAUUCUUUCUUUCCUUAUUUCAUGCUAGUUGCUUUUGAAGGUGGUAGCAUUUUAAGAGCUUUUAUAUUACUUUCUUCAUGUCCUAUAUUAUGGUUUUUAAGCUAUGAACUUAAGCUUAAAGUUAUGAUCUUCAUAACUUUUUGUGGACUUAAAAUAAAGGACAUGGAAAUGAUUGCAAGAGUUGUUUUACCAAAGUUUUACAUGGAGAAUCUUAAUCUUAUGGCUUAUGAGGUUUUGGUAUCAGCAAAGUGUAGAGUUUUCUUCACUUCUGUGCCAAAAGUUAUGGUUGAGGGAUUUUUGAAGGAAUAUUUGAAUGGUGAUGAUGUUAUAGCUACUGAAUUGCAAAGUGUUGGAUGUUACUUCACUGGUUUGAUCUCUAAGCAUGGUUUGGUUGUUAAGCAUAGUGCAAUAAUGGAUUAUUUUGGAGAUAAAAAGCCUGAUUUAGGGAUUGGAAGCACAUGUGUCAAUGAUCAUCAUUUUAUAUCAUGUUGCAAGCCUUGCCAAUUGGAGAAUAUGCCGCAGUAACUCUUCUUUUGUUUUUCGGCCUAAAAUCAAUAAAAGACGCAUGGGAUCUUCCUUCAUCUGUGGUUAAAAAAUGGUGAUAACAGCACUCCAUGAACUUGAUGAACUUGCUUCAGCAGAAGAACUCGUGAAAGAAAAGGUAUCGCAACGGCUUUCAAAUCCACUUGAGAUUGUAUGGAAAUCGUUCAGCCUUGUAUUUUUUGUUGGUCUUUUUGAAAACAUGAGAGAUGCUGGCUUGGAAAAUGGCAGAGGAUUG